GACGAACGCUGGCGGCGUGCUUAACACAUGCAAGUCGAACGGAAAGGCCCUGCUUUUGUUGGGUUCUCGAUUGGCGAACGGGUGAGUAACACGUGAGUAACCUGCCCUUGACUUUGGGAUAACUUCAGGAGACUGGGGCUAAUACCCGAUAGGAGCUCCUGCUGCAUGGUGGUGGUUGGAAAGUUUCGGCUGUUGGGGCUGGACUCGCGGCUUAUCCGCUUGUUGGUGGGGUAGUGGCUUACCAAGGCUUUGACGGGUAGCCGGCCUGAGAGGGGGACCGGGCACAUUGGGACUGAGAUAGGGACCAGACUCCUAUGGGAGGCAGCAGUGGGGAAUAUUGCACAAUGGGCGGAAGUCUGAUGCAGAAAUGCCGCGUGCGGGAAGACGGCCUUCGGGUUGUAAACAGAUUUCGCCUGAGACGAAGCGUGAGUGACGGUAAUGGGUAAAGAAGCAACGGCUAACUACGUG
rnacentral:rRNA from 1 species